AGAAACAGACGAAGACUCUGGCGAUGAGGAAAGACAUAUAUUACCAGAAAUUAAUUCUGACACCGAAGAAGACUCAUCGGAUGAUUCCGAUUACGAGCCUUAGUUUUAAUUUAGAGGACGUAAUCCAUUAAUUUGUAUAACUAAAGACCUUUUCCUUUAUAGUUUACAUAUGUUGAAUUCAUAUUUCAGUUAUUUUAUAUGAAUUUUGGUGAUACAUGAUGAACAGGAAGUUAGUAUGGUUUACUAAUAUCGUCUGUUUUUUUUAAUGUAUUUUUUUCCUUAAGCCGACGAAAUACACCAUAAUUCUUCGGCUAAAACCAUCUUAGCCGACGAAUUAUAGUGUAUUUCGUCGGCUUAACCCAUCUUAGCCGACGAAAUAUACUAUAUUUCGUCGGCUAAAACCAUCUUAGCCGACGAAUUAUAGUGUAUUUCGUCGGCUAAACCCAUCUUAGUCGGCUAAAACCAUCUUAGCCGACGAAUUAUAGUGUAUUUCGUCGGCUAAACCCAUCUUAGCCAACGAAUAACCUAAUAUUUCGUCGGCUUUAGUUAUUUUUAAAUUUUUUAAUUACAUACUAUAGCCGACGAAUACGUUAGGGUAUUCGUCGGCUAAACCCUAAAAUUUUUCUAUUACCUACUAUAGCCCUAUCUUCGGUGGUUAUUUUCCAUAAAAUUUUUAGACGACUUCUUGCGUCUCAUCGGUUUGAAACUAUUUUCAGUUGGAGGUCCGGCCAAAAUACGUAAUUUAGACGGUCGAACGACCUUUUCCGUGCGUUUAGGGGUUUGACUUACGAGAUUGACCGUCCGGAUCGAGCCCCUAUUCUUUUCGGAUCAAGUUGAAUUUUUUCCCAUACAUGUAUUUUGUCAUGAUGGUCAGAUCUGACGAUCGGAUUUCUGUUUCUCAAGUUUGAUCAUCACAAUCACAACAUGCAUACUAAUGUUGUAUAACUAGUUUACCAAGUGUUAUGUAAAUGUUCCGUUUCAAAAACAAACUAUACGUAAAACCUUCAAACGCCAAAAAGUCAUGAAAUAAGAUAUGACGAGAAUGUUGAAAUACAUCCACGGUUGAAAAAUCACACUAUUCCGGUAAAUAUUCUGUGCCGAUAGUUGCGGUCAAUGCAAGUUUUCAUUCUUUCCCCCUAUGAGUAGCCCUAUAUUUGGUGGUUAUUUUGCGUAAAAUUUUUAUACGACUUGUUGCGUGUCAUCGAUUUAAAACUAUUUUCAGUUGGAGGUCCGGCCAAAAUACGUAAUUUAGACGGUCGAACGACCUUUUCUGUGCGUUUAGGGGUUUGACUUACGAGAUUGACCGUCCGGAUCGAGCCCUUAUUCUUGUCGGAUCAAGUUGAAUUUUUUCCCAUACAUGUAUUUUGUCAUGAUGGUCAGAUCUGACGGUCGGAUUUAUUUUUCUCAAGUUUGAUCAUCACAAUCACAAUGUGCUAAAUGUAUAAAAAUACUUUUAGCCGACGAAUUUCAAAGGUUAGCCGACGAAUUUCAAAGGUUUAGCCGACGAAUUUAUAAAGUUUAGCCAACGAAUUUCAAAGUUUUAGCCGACGAAUUUAGAAGAUUUAGCCGACGAAAUUCGUAGCUUUAGCCGACGAAAUAAUUAUUUUGUUGGCUAAAGUUUUCGGGUUUAACUGCGAAACCCUAGCCUCCUCCCUCCUCCCUUCUAAUUAUCCCUCUCCCAUCUCCGCCUCCUCCCNNN
rnacentral:lncRNA from 1 species